rnacentral:rRNA from 1 species
AGAGUUUGAUCCUGGCUCAGGACGAACGCUGGCGGCGUGCCUAAUACAUGCAAGUUGAACGCUGAAGCUUUAACUGAUGCUUGCAUCGACCUAAGUUCUCAGAGUAGCGGACGGGUGAGUAACACGUGGGUAACCUGCCCAUCAGAGGGGGAUAACACUUGGAAACAGGUGCUAAUACCGCAUAAUUCCUUUUACCGCAUGGUAAAAGGCUGAAAGACGCUUCUGGUGUCACUGAUGGAUGGACCCGCGGUGCAUUAGCUAGUCGGUGGGGUAACGGCCUACCGAGGCAAUGAUGCAUAGCCGACCUGAGAGGGUGAUCGGCCACAUUGGGACUGAGACACGGCCCAAACUCCUACGGGAGGCAGCAGUAGGGAAUCUUCGGCAAUGGACGAAAGUCUGACCGAGCAACGCCGCGUGAGUGAAGAAGGUUUUCGGAUCGUAAAACUCUGUUGUUAGAGAAGAACAAGAGAAGUAGUAACUGGCUUCUCCUUGACGGUAUCUAACCAGAAAGCCACGGCUAACUACGUGCCAGCAGCCGCGGUAAUACGUAGGUGGCAAGCGUUGUCCGGAUUUAUUGGGCGUAAAGCGAGCGCAGGCGGUCUUUUAAGUCUGAUGUGAAAGCCCUCGGCUUAACCGAGGAGGGUCAUUGGAAACUGGGAGACUUGAGUGCAGAAGAGGAAAGUGGAACUCCAUGUGUAGCGGUGGAAUGCGUAGAUAUAUGGAAGAACACCAGUGGCGAAGGCGGCUUUCUGGUCUGUAACUGACGCUGAGGCUCGAAAGCGUGGGGAGCAAACAGGAUUAGAUACCCUGGUAGUCC